UACGAAGGGGGCUAGCGUUGCUCGGAAUCACUGGGCGUAAAGCGCACGUAGGCGGCUUUUUAAGUCAGGGGUGAAAUCCUGGAGCUCAACUCCAGAACUGCCUUUGAUACUGAGAAGCUUGAGUUCGGGAGAGGUGAGUGGAACUGCGAGUGUAGAGGUGAAAUUCGUAGAUAUUCGCAAGAACACCAGUGGCGAAGGCGGCUCACUGGCCCGAUACUGACGCUGAGGUGCGAAAGCGUGGGGAGCAAACAGGG
rnacentral:rRNA from 1 species